rnacentral:rRNA from 1 species
CAGCCGCCACGGGAAUACGGAGGGUGCAAGCGUUAAUCGGAAUUACUGGGCGUAAAGCGUGCGUAGGUGGUGGUUUAAGUCCGUUGUGAAAGCCCUGGGCUCAACCUGGGAAUUGCAGUGGAUACUGGGUCACUAGAGUGUGGUAGAGGAUAGUGGAAUUUCCGGUGUAGCAGUGAAAUGCGUAGAGAUCGGAAGGAACAUCUGUGGCGAAGGCGACUAUCUGGGCCAACACUGACACUGAGGCACGAAAGCGUGGGGAGCAAACAGGAUUAGAUACCCCUGUAGUCCCUGUCUCUUAUAC